rnacentral:misc_RNA from 1 species
GUCAACUUUACGUGCAUGGCGGACAAGCUUAUCCAUGCUUGCCCACAGCAUAGCUAAAAAUCAGGAAUUCCACAAAUUUACCGUAAAUAGUUCCAAAAUCAUUUCAUAUAGAACUCAAUGCAUAAUAUAUAGUAAGACAGAAACUUAACAUUACUUCAGAGAAUCGGUGGCAAAUAUACAGAUAAAACUUGAACAAACAUAUGAGGUUUGUAAUCCUUGUAUUCUAGACAAUAAAACUGCCUGCUUAUAAAUUAUUUGAUCUACCUAAUGCCCUCUGGCCUAAGAAGGUAUAAUAUGAAAUAAUAUCACUGAUACUCCAAACAGAACCUUUCAAUGGAACAGUAGGCGAACCUCUUUUGAAUUAAGAAGCUGAGUGCUUGCCCUCGCACUCAGGAGUCUCGUUGAAGUUAUUCGAUGGAUAUUUAGCGGUAACCAUCCCAACUUCAAACACCAAAUCCUCGUCAUUAGACCUAAUCCCUGUUAUAGACCACCAUUUAAAGAAUGCCCAGACCCGAAUCCCUUCCAGCUUCGCGAUCUGACCCUUAACAAUCUUGCCGGUCACCUUUUUCGAGUAGGUGGCCAAGUAGUUAUCGGGCGGCAGCGUGACUUGACACGUGCCACCGAAGUCGACGGAGAAGUCACCGGAGGACAGAUUGAGAGUAUAGUUGAGGACGGAGGAAGGGAGAAGACCGAUAGGGAAGCCGUAGUUGGUAAGCUCGACGUGGGCGGCGGUUGGGGGGGUUUGGGCGGAGGAGAGAGAAAUGAGAAGGAAGAGAGAGAAAAGAGAGAGAAGUUUCGUCAUGGUUCUGUGGCGUCGUUUUUAGGCGAGAUCUAACUUGUUCUGUUUUGUUGGUUGGGGCUUUCAGCUUUG